CCCGGGGGUCCUCCGGCCCGCGGAGGGGCCGCUGGGGGCCGGCGGCCCCGCCAUUUCCAGUCGGCGCCGUGAGGCCGAGCGGGCCCAGGCCGGCGCGGGCCGCUGCCCUCCGUGAGGCGCUGGCAGGGCGGUUCAGGCCCUUGAAGCCGCAGGAGAAAUAAUGUGCUUUGCGGACGCCUCAGAGAAUAUAACUUCUAGGGGAGAAGAAGAGGGACGGCAGAUUGCACCGUCAGACAAGAAAAUGUCAUUUCGGCGUGCUGAAGCGUAUUCAUGA
rnacentral:lncRNA from 1 species